AACGAACGCUGGCGGCGCGCCUAAUACAUGCAAGUCGAACGAGAAGGUGUAGCAAUACACUUGUACAGUGGCGAACGGGUGAGGAAUGCAUGGGCAACCUACCCUCGAGUGGGGAACAACCAGCCGAAAGGUUGGCUAAUACCGCGUACGCUUCCGGGUCUCCGGAUCCGGAAGGAAAGUCACACCGUGGGUGUGACGCUCAAGGAUGGGCUCAUGUCCUAUCAGCUUGNGGUGAGGUAACGGCUCACCAAGGCAACGACGGGUAGCUGGUCUGAGAGGACGAUCAGCCACACUGGCACUGCGACACGGGCCAGACUCCUACGGGAGGCAGCAGUAAGGAAUAUUGCGCAAUGGGCGAAAGCCUGACGCAGCGACGCCGCGUGGGGGAUGAAGGUCUUCGGAUUGUAAACCCCUUUUAGAGGGAAAUGGGACGAGCAAUCGUCCGGAUGGUACCUCA
rnacentral:rRNA from 1 species